CUCCCUGCCCAGAGCUUCUCUUCACUGACUGUCUGGGACAAGCCAGCGCCGUGGAGCUGUCUCUUUUUCAUUUCUCAGCCUCACUGGCCAUUCCAGUCCUCAAGAAAUAUUUGCUUGAUGUGACUUCUUGGAACCAAAUGUUGGUACCCAACUGAAAGGGAUGGAGCCCUCCGAACUUGGAAGUUCCGCUGAGGAUGAGGGCGGCCGCCAUUUUGAAACGAACAGACUCCAAAAGCACGCUCCACUGGGCCUGCCCCUGCGAUCUUAAAACAGAUGUCCGUGAAAUGUGACCCAUGAAUAGCAGUUAUCUGGAGAGAGAGCUCUGAAGCUGAUGAAACCAUUAGAGCCACUGAAGGCACCUGGUAAAUGCGAUGCGGGGAGUACAGAAGAGAGAAUCAGAAACACACCGGCACUCUCAUUCCCAUGAGGCCACUUACAGUGGGUAAAACGUCGCUUGAGAAGAGCGGCAGCUCCAGCCUGAAUGAGAAGCACGUCCUCCUGGGAGUUACGUCAGCAGCCUGACCUUCCAUCUUCCUCCUCUAAAGAAGCGUCCCUGCCACCCUGAGCACGAAGCCCUCGGGUUCCUAAAGGCCGAGGCGCUUCUUCUCAUUUACUUCCCUUGAGGAAGAAAGACCAGCCCAUCCACCCUCAUUUCCCACCGAAGGGCAUCGCAAAUAAAGUUUGCCCACGCAACCAGGCCACCACCAUUAAUUUCUCUCUGCCCUGCUCUUACAUUCUCCUCAAGGUUUUCAGUCCCCUAGAGAGGCUCCCUUCCCUCUUUUCUUUCCUUCCUCCAGCCCCCCUUUUCACCUCCCUCCACCAUUGUUUGAGGUUAAGAAGCAUGCUACGGUGUUCUAUAAAUCACUUGGCAAGAGUAGACGACAAAAGCAAAAUAUAAUUCAGAUUAAAGUCAUCCUCCCGCUGAAAUGAUAGUUUCUUAAAUAAAUGGCGAUGCUGCCUAUCAAUCUUGCUGGCAA
rnacentral:lncRNA from 1 species